UGUUUGAGAAAUAAUUUGGAAGGUUUGAAUACAAAAAAAUCCAUACCAGUUUAAACUUUGGCCACAAAACAACAUUAUUCGGCUAUGUGUUAACCAAACAAACAUUAAGCUGUUUCUAUGGAUUGUGACCCCAUGGAGGCCUUUGCAUUAAUCAUGACGUGGAGGGAGGGCCCCAGACAAGCCUGAGACAUUCCUGGGACAGCUUGCCGCUGGGCAGGUGAAGCAGCCAGCCUUGCCGACACAGCUGGGAGGGCAAGACAGUCGUUAAAACUGCUGUUCCAGCCUCACGAGUCAGGGGAGACAGUUGAGAGCCACGGCAGAAGAGCAUUCCCCCCAUUGUUUCCACCACUGGCUGGGCCGUACGUCACUGGAAUCAGGUUGGGGAAGGAUACGCAGGUUUCUCACUGUGAGACGCUCCGCUACCCAUGACUGUCCAGCUCAACGUGACUUCAUUAACACCAGGUUGAAGGACAGACAGACAUUGAGGCGUGAGGUCACCACAGCCCUGGGCCCCCACAGGGAGCUGCUGCUGGCCUCCCUAACUGGCUCACGGACAUCAACUGACUGCACGUCAUUAGUUAGUUCAUUUGGGGCCUACAGGAUGUCAAGGGGAUGGGAGUCUCUGUAGGGGCUCCUCUGUCCCCAGUCCAAACCCCUUCUUUUUUGAAUACAGAAGCUAGCAGGGUCGAGGGAGUAAAGAAUUUUACAGUUUCUCUCAAUUGCAAAGACACUUUUCACUAGCUACACUUGUCACCCUGCUGGCCAAAGGGGCUUUUCACCCUGGGACCCAGUUAAGUGGUUUGUAUCAUGUUUGAGAGAUUUCUCGGUCAGUAAGAUUUGUAAAACACCUAGUUUACUAAAACAUUGGAGCCUAGCUGUACUUCAUAUGGAUCUGUCUGCCUAUUUAUAAACAAAUUAUAAAUAAACACUACAUUUAAAAAGUUUUAAUAAAUAUUUAUGUGUUAGUUUCUAGGUUGAGGAAUAGCUGCUGAAAUCAAAAAAGGAUGUAGAAGGCACAUCAAGUUGGACUUGCUGGAAGCACAGGCUUGUCUGUACACAUUAUGUAUACAGUAGAAUGACUUGGAUUCAGUAUUAGAAUCAAAAACACAGUGCCUUUUAAGAUGUAAUAAUCUGUACAAUGUAGACCAACAACAACAUUCAAACUGCAUUUUCACUGCAAUUUACACAUACAGUAUAUUGUGAUGUUGGGUGCUAUUGUAGGUAGGAUCAAUUUCUUGUCCCUAAACAUAAAUCAAUAA